rnacentral:rRNA from 1 species
UACCAGCACCCCGAGUGGUCGGGACGAUUAUUGGGCCUAAAGCAUCCGUAGCCGGUUCUACAAGUCUUCCGUUAAAUCCACCUGCUCAACAGUUGGGCUGCGGAGGAUACUAUAGAGCUAGGAGGCGGGAGAGGCAAGCGGUACUUAGUGGGUAGGGGUAAAAUCCGUUGAUCCAUUGAAGACCACCAGUGGCGAAGGCGGCUUGCCAGAAUGCGCUCGACGGUGAGGGAUGAAAGCUGGGGGAGCAAACCGG